AGUGAACGCUGGCGGUAUGCCUAACACAUGCAAGUCGAACGGCAGCACAGUAAGAGCUUGCUCUUACGGUUGGCGAGUGGCGGACGGGUGAGGAAUACAUCGGAAUCUACUUUUUCGUGGGGGAUAACGUAGGGAAACUUACGCUAAUACCGCAUACGACCUACGGGUGAAAGCAGGGGAUCUUCGGACCUUUCGCGAUUGAAUGAGCCGAUGUCGGAUUAGCUAGUUGGCGGGGUAAAGGCCCACCAAGGCGACGAUCCGUAGCUGGUCUGAGAGGAUGAUCAGCCACACUGGAACUGAGACACGGUCCAGACUCCUACGGGAGGCAGCAGUGGGGAAUAUUGGACAAUGGGCGCAAGCCUGAUCCAGCCAUACCGCGUGGGUGAAGAAGGCCUUCGGGUUGUAAAGCCCUUUUGUUGGGAAAGAAAAGCAGCAGGUUAAUACCCCGCUGUUCUGACGGUACCCAAAGAAUAAGCACCGGCUAACUUCGUG
rnacentral:rRNA from 1 species